rnacentral:lncRNA from 1 species
CUAAUUAGCAAUUGCUUUCCUGGUUAAUAACUACUGAAAUGCUAUCAGGAAAUAUGUUUAAAGUACAGAUUGCCAUGCUCUGUGUCAGUACCUGCCAGGAGAUGGGGCAGCAGUGGCUGGAGAGGGAGGGCAGCAGCUGGGUCAUAGCCUGCUCUUGCCUUGCAGCAAUCCCAAAUCCCUGCACAAGGCAGGGGUGGCUGCUGAGCUGUUGGACCUGGGAGCUUGGCACCCUCCCAGCUGCUGGUGGGGCAGUGUCCCAGCCUGUUCUCAUCCUGUUCCCGCUGCUCCCAGGAGCUCCCUGCCCCUCUGUUGCCCAGCUCACAUUCUCCCCUUCCUCCAAAGAGGUGCCAGAAACCCCCGAUGGCACUGACUGGGCCCAAAGACAGCCACUCCAUCAGUGUCCAUCAGGGGAAGGGGCUCCUGUUAUCCCACUGCAAAUCCCCAUGGAGCAGCACUUUUCUCAUGAUCUCUCUCCCCAUAUUCACAUGUUAUGUGAAAACCUCAGUUUUCCCUCAAAGAGGGAAAAUUCCUCGAAACAAAGUCCCCUCAUAGUUGCAAGGACCACUUUGAGAACACAAACUGAGAACCUGGACACCCAGCAGAGGAUGGGUGGGGGCAGUGGCACCUGGCCUGGCACUGGGACACCCAUGGUGGUGGGUGGUGGUGGCUCUUCCCUGCACAUGGACUCUCUUAUUCCUGGAAACUCCACUGCUGUGACAGAGUUAACCUGGAUUUCAACCACAGCAGGAACAAAUGUGACUCACAUUCCUCACAGUCACUCAUGGCCCAUUCCCAAACCCACAAAUUCUAAUGUGAAACUUUUCCUUUAAUGAUCACUGCAUAACACACAUACCACCAGCACAGACCUCUGGGAAGCAAAUGCUGUUUCAUCUGUGGCCAGAUCAGAUCUUCCCUGGGGUUUUCCAUGCCUGGAACAGCUAAUUUUUCCUGCUCAUAAACAACACAGCACCUAGAAACACUCAGAAACAAUUUCCAGCCCCCUGGAUCCCGAGUUGGGGCACUGAUGCUUCUUUCUUCUGCAUCCCGUGGCUGCAGGGUUAAUAACAGGGGUUCCUACACCAUAUCAAUGUUGUAAUUCAAAAUUUGCUCCUUGCAGAUGUUUGGAAGGAAG